GACGGAGGGUGCUAGCGUUGUUCGGAAUCACUGGGCGUAAAGGGCGCGUAGGCGGCCUGGCAAGUCGGCUUUGUGAAAGCCCGGGGCUCAACCCCGGAGGUGCGGCCGAGACUGCGAGGCUGGAGGCCGGAAGAGGAGGGUGGAAUACCCAGUGUAGAGGUGAAAUUCGUAGAUAUUGGGUGGAACACCGGUGGCGAAAGCGGCUCUCUGGUCCGGUACUGACGCUGAGGCGCGAAAGCUAGGGGAGCAAACGGG
rnacentral:rRNA from 1 species